rnacentral:rRNA from 1 species
GACGAACGCUGGCGGCGUGCUUAACACAUGCAAGUCGAACGGACAGGCCCUGCUUGCAGGGUACUCGAGUGGCGAACGGGUGAGUAACACGUGGGUGAUCUGCCUUGCACUUCGGGAUAAGCCUGGGCAACUGGGUCUAAUAACGGAUAGGAGACAUUUUUAGUGUGAUGGUUGGAAAGUUUGUUCGGUGUAGGAUGAGUUCGCGACCUAUCAGCUUGUUGGUGGGGUAAUGGCCUACCAAGGCGGCGACGGGUAGCCGGCCUGAGAGGGUGGACGGCCACAUUGAGACUGAGGGACGGCCCAGACACCGACGGGAGGCAGCAGGGGGGAAUAUUGAACAAGGGGCGCAAGCCGGAUGCAGCGACGCCGCGUGGGGGAUGACGGUCUUCGGGUUGUAAACUCCUUUCGCUAGGGACGAAGCUUUUUGUGACGGUACCUAGAUAAAAAGCACCGGCUAACUACGUG